GGAAGGAUCAUUACAAGGAACUGGCUUCGGUCAGAACCUCCAACCACUGUGUACCAAACUUUUGUUGCCUCGGCGGGCUGGGUGCCCACCAGCGCCCCCCUUAGGGGAGCCGCCCGCCGAAGGACCCCAAAACUUUUUUGUUGAUGAACGUCUGAUUCAACUUUUAAAAAAAAUACAACUUUUAACAAUGGAUCUCUUGGCUCUGGCAUCGAUGAAGAACGCAGCGAAAUGCGAUAAUUAAUGUGAAUUGCAGAUUUCAGUGAAUCAUCGAGUUUUUGAACGCACAUUGCGCCCCCUGGUAUUCCUAGGGGCAUGCCUAUUCGAGCGUCGUUUGGUCUCUCAAGCCUGGCUUGGUGUUGGGGCACGCCCUCUUACGAGCGGCGGCCCUCGAAAUCAUCGGCGGUGCCGGUGCGGCCUGGAAGCGCAGCAAAAUGCGAAGCCUACCCACCGAUACCCGCCGGAUCAAACGUCUUCGGACACUUUUUUACAAAAAGACCUCGAAUUAGGUAGGGAUACCCGCUGAACUUAAGCAUAUCAAUAAGCGGAGGAAAAGAAACCAACAGGGAUUGCCUUAGUAACGGCGAGUGAAGCGGCAACAGCUCAAAUUUGAAAUCUGGUACUUUCAGUGCCCGAGUUGUAAUUUGUAGAGGAUGUUUCGGCGUCGGCGCCACCUGAAGUUCCUUGGAACGGGACGUCAAAGAGGGUGAGAGCCCCGUGUCUGGGUGGAUGACUUCGCCAUGUGAAACUCCUUCGACGAGUCGAGUUGUUUGGGAAUGCAGCUCAAAACGGGAGGUAAAUUUCUUCCAAAGCUAAAUACCGGCCAGAGACCGAUAGUGCACAAGUAGAGUGAUCGAAAGAUGAAAAGCACUUUGGAAAGAGAGUCAAACAGCGCGUGAAAUUGUUAAAAGGGAAGCGCUUGAGGUCAGACUUGGUCGCCGUUGCUCGGCGGGGCUCUCGCCCCGUUUGCUCUUCGGCGAUCAGGCCAGCAUCAACUUGGACGGUUGGAUAAAGACCGUGGGAAUGUGGCUCCCCCGGGAGUGUUAUAGCCCACGGUGGAAUGCAGCCAGUCCGGGUUGAGGUCUGCGCAUCUGCUAGGAUGCUGGCGUAAUGGCCCCAAGCGGCCCGUCUUGAAACACGGACCAAGGAGUCUAACAUUCGUGCAAGUGUUCGGGCGUCAAACCCCUACGCGUAAUGAAAGUGAACGUUGGUGGGAAUUUUUUAUGCACCAUCGACCGAUCCUAAUGUCUUCGGAUGGAUUUGAGUAUGAGCACGUAUGUUGGGACCCGAAAGAUGGUGAACUAUGCCUAAGCAGGGCGAAGCCAGAGGAAACUCUGGUGGAGGCUCGCAGCGGUUCUGACGUGCAAAUCGAUCGUCAAAUUUGGGUAUAGGGGCGAAAGACUAAUCGAACCAUCUAGUAGCUGGUUCCUGC
rnacentral:misc_RNA from 1 species